rnacentral:rRNA from 1 species
AAUGAACGCUGGCGGCAGGCCUAACACAUGCAAGUCGAACGGAUCCUUCGGGAUUAGUGGCGGACGGGUGAGUAACGCGUGGGAACAUACCCUUUGGUACGGAAUAGCCUCAGGAAACUGGGAGUAAUACCGUAUGUGGUCGAGAGACGAAAGAUUUAUCGCCAAAGGAUUGGCCCGCGUUGGAUUAGGGAGUUGGUGGGGUAAUGGCCUACCAAGCCGACGAUCCAUAGCUGGUUUGAGAGGAUGAUCAGCCACACUGGGACUGAGACACGGCCCAGACUCCUACGGGAGGCAGCAGUGGGGAAUCUUAGACAAUGGGGGAAACCCUGAUCUAGCCAUGCCGCGUGAUCGAUGAAGGCCUUAGGGUUGUAAAGAUCUUUCAGGUGGGAAGAUAAUGACUGUACCACCAGAAGAAGCCCCGGCUAACUCCGUGCCAGCCGCCGCUGUAA